CCAAACUCUUGGCAUCCUGGACUCGCCGCGUGGGAUGAGGCUCUGCUAUAUAGCUCUGCUUCUGAUAGAUGGAUGGCAAUUGCAGGAAGAUUUCCUCUUUGCUGGCACGCGGAUUUCAUAUCAGUGACAGUCUUUUGAUCUUUCGUUUCUCCCGCCACAUGGUAAUGCGCUGAUUUUUAAUGGAAGGAUUGUCAUCAACUUCAAUUAGUUGCAAGAAAACUGGCCUUAACUAGAGAUUGGUGAGUAUUUCCUCCAUGGCUGA